ensembl:lncRNA
UUUAAUCAUUGUUUAUCAAAGAUUCUAUAAAAAUGAAACAAUGAAAAAGUCAAGAAGCAUGUUUGUUAUCUUUCUAAGUGGAGUUAAAAGUAAACAAUAUACAUUUGAGGCUACAUGUAAUACGACAAUACGAAACAACUGGUACAAAAAUCUCCUUCAUGAUCCAAUAUCUACAGUGAGUUGAGUAUCUUGAUCUGAUGGUGUGUGUGUGUGUGUGGGGGGUGUGUGUGUGUGGGUAUCCUGAUGAAGACCAAUCAUCAGCAAAGUGGGUGGAGGGUUUAUGGUUUUGAUACACAUAAAGUGACACUUUACAUCCAGGUAACCAGAUAGGCGGGUAACCAGACAGGCAGGUAACCAGACAGGCAGGUCAGACAGGUAGGUAACCAGACAGGCAGGUAACCAAACAGGUAGGUAACCAGACAGGCAGGUAACCAGACAGCCAGGUAACCAGACAGCCAGGUAACCAGACAGGCAGGUAACCAGACAGGCAGGUAACCAGACAGGCAGGUAACCAGACAGGCAGGUCACCAGACAGGCAGGUCACCAGACAGGCAGGUCACCAGACAGGCAGGUAACCAGACAGGCAGGUAACCAGACAGGCAGGUCACCAGACAGGCAGGUAACCAGACAGGCAGGUAACCAGACAGGCAGGUAACCAGACAGGCAGGUAACCAGACAGGCAGGUAACCAGACAGGUAGGUAACCAGACAGGUAGGUAACCAGACAGGCAGGUAACCAGACAGGCAGGUAACCAGACAGGCAGGUAACCCGUUAUUGCUGUAUAUCUACAACAAAACAUAUCAUAGACAAAUAUACUGAAUCGUGUCAAAAUAAAAUUACCAAUCAUAAUUUGGUUUACUUUUCGCUCAGCCAAAUCUAUCUUCUAAACAGCACCCUGUACCCCAUUCCCAAACAGCACCCUGUUCCUCAGUCCCAAACAGCACCCUGUUCCCCAUUCCCAAACAGCACCCUGUUCCCCAUUCCCAAACAGCACCCUGUUCCUCAGUCCCAAACAGCACCCUGUUCCCCAUUCCCAAACAGCACCCUGUUCCCCAUUCCCAAACAGCACCCUGUUCCUCAGUCCCAAACAGCACCCUGUUCCCCAUUCCCAAACAGCACCCUGUUCCCCAUUCCCAAACAGCACCCUGUUCCCCAUUCCCAAACAGCACCCUGUUCCUCAGUCCCAAACUGCACCCUGUACCCCAGUCCCAAACAGCACCCUGUUCCCCAGUCCCAAACAG